AUCCAGCGAAUUCGGUAGAGAUACCUUAGUGCCUUCGGGAACGCUGAGACAGGUGCUGCAUGGCUGUCGUCAGCUCGUGUUGUGAAAUGUUGGGUUAAGUCCCGCAACGAGCGCAACCCUUAUCCUUUGUUGCCAGCGGUCCGGCCGGGAACUCAAAGGAGACUGCCAGUGAUAAACUGGAGGAAGGUGGGGAUGACGUCAAGUCAUCAUGGCCCUUACGAGUAGGGCUACACACGUGCUACAAUGGCGCAUACAAAGAGAAGCGACCUCGCGAGAGCAAGCGGACCUCAUAAAGUGCGUCGUAGUCCGGAUUGGAGUCUGCAACUCGACUCCAUGAAGUCGGAAUCGCUAGUAAUCGUAGAUCAGAAUGCUACGGUGAAUACGUUCCCGGGCCUUGUACACACCGCCCGUCACACCAUGGGAGUGGGUUGCAAAAGAAGUAGGUAGCUUAACCUUCGGGAGGGCGCUUACCACUUUGUGAUUCAUGACUGGGGUGAAGUCGUAACAAGGUAAGCGUAGAUGA
rnacentral:rRNA from 1 species